rnacentral:rRNA from 1 species
CCUACGGGGGGCUGCAGUGGGGAAUUUUGCGCAAUGGGCGAAAGCCUGACGCAGCAACGCCGCGUGAGUGAUGAAGGUCUUCGGAUCGUAAAGCUCUUUCGACUGGGACGAAAACGUUCGGGUGAACAGCCCGAGCCUUGACGGUACUGGGAGAAGAAGCACCGGCUAACUCUGUGCCAGCAGCCGCGGUAAUACAGAGGGUGCAAGCGUUGUUCGGAAUUAUUGGGCGUAAAGCGCGUGUAGGCGGUGGCGUAUGUCGCGUGUGAAAGCCCUCGGCUCAACCGAGGAAGUGCGCGCGAAACUACGUUGCUAGAGUGCCGGAGAGGGUGGCGGAAUUCCGGGUGUAGAGGUGAAAUUCGUAGAUAUCCGGAGGAACACCAGUGGCGAAGGCGGCCACCUGGACGGACACUGACGCUGAGACGCGAAAGCGUGGGUAGCAAACAGGCUUAGAUACCCCGGUAGUC